UGGUUCACCCAAUCUUUCACUGAAGAGUCGAGAUUUGCUUGACUUUGAGCAACAGCCAAGGGUGUGUGGAUUGACCUCUUUUAUAACAUGAGGGAACAAUUCACACCUAAACAAAGAGGUCGAAACCAUUUAGGACUAGGAAAAUAUAUAUAUAUAUCAAAAAACUGAAAUUUCUUUAGGUUUCCCUUUUAUGCAAAACAAG
rnacentral:lncRNA from 1 species